rnacentral:rRNA from 1 species
UACAUGAUUAAGUUAUUAAGGGCGCACGGUGGAUGCCUUGGCACUAGAAGCCGAAGAAGGACGUUACUAACGACGAUAUGCUUUGGGGAGCUGUAAGUACGCUUUGAUCCAGAGAUUUCCGAAUGGGGAAAC